rnacentral:rRNA from 1 species
UACGAAGGGGGCUAGCGUUGCUCGGACUUACUGGGCGUAAAGCGCACGUAGGCGGCUUUCUAAGUCGGGGGUGAAAUCCUGGAGCUCAACUCCAGAACUGCCUUCGAUACUGGAGAGCUCGAGUCCGGGAGAGGUGAGUGGAACUGCGAGUGUAGAGGUGAAAUUCGUAGAUAUUCGCAAGAACACCAGUGGCGAAGGCGGCUCACUGGCCCGGUACUGACGCUGAGGUGCGAAAGCGUGGGGAGCAAACAGG